GAUGAACGCUGGCGGCGUGCCUAAUACAUGCAAGUCGAGCGAACGGACGAGACGCUUGCUUCUCUGAUGUUAGCGGCGGACGGGUGAGUAACACGUGGAUAACCUACCUAUAAGACUGGGAUAACUUCGGGAAACCGGAGCUAAUACCGGAUAAUAUUUUGAACCGCAUGGUUCAAAAGUAAAAGACGGUCUUGCUGUCACUUAUAGAUGGAUCCGCGCUGCAUUAGCUAGUUGGUAAGGUAACGGCUUACCAAGGCAACGAUGCAUAACCGACCUGAGAGGGUGAUCAGCCACACUGGAACUGAGACACGGUCCAGACUCCUGCGGGAGGCAGCAGUAGGGAAUCUUGGGCAAUGGGCGAAAGCCUGACGGAGCAACGCCGCGUGAGUGAUGAAGGUCUUCGGAUCGUAAAGCUCUGUUAUUAGGGAAGAACAGAUGUGUAAGUAACUGUGGACAUCUUGACGUUACCUAAACAGAAAGCCACGGCUAACUACGUG
rnacentral:rRNA from 1 species